GCGAGUCUUAAAAGGCGUGUGAGUCGCGUGUCCUGGACCCGAAGCGGGAUGAUCUAGCCCUGAGCAGGUUGAGGCGCGGGUAAGACCGCGUGGAGGACCGAACCCACUUAGGUUGAAAACUGAGGGGAUGACUUGGGGCUAGGGGUGAAAGGCCAAUCAAAUUCCGUGAUAGCUGGUUCUCUCCGAAAUGCAUUUAGGUGCAGCGUCGCGUCAUUGCCUCCAGGGGGUAGAGCUACUGGAUGCUUGAGGGCCCGUAUAGGGUACCGACAGCAGCCAAACUCCGAAUACCUGCGAGGUCGUAUCGCGGCAGUGAGUCGGCGGGGGAUAAGCUCCGUCGUCAAAAGGGAGACAGCCCAGAUCGUCGUCUAAGGUCCCUAAGCGUGUGCUAAGUGGGAAAGGAUGUGGAGUCGCAUAGACAGCCAGGAGGUUGGCUCAGAAGCAGCCAUCCUUGAAAGAGUGCGUAACAGCUCACUGGUCUAGUGGUUCCGCGCCGACAAUGUAGCGGGGCUCAAGCACACCACCGAAGACGCGGCAGUGUCCUUUAUUGGAUGCUGGGUAGGAGAGCGUUCCAUGCGGGGCGAAGCGGCGGCGUAAGCCAGCCGUGGACUGCAUGGAAGCGAGAAUGCAGACAUGAGUAGCGAAAGGCGGGUUACAAUCCCGCCCGCUGGAUGACUAAGGGUUCCGGGGCCACGUUCAACGUCCCCGGGUGAGUCGGGUCCUAAGGCGAGGCCGACAGGCGUAGUCGACUGGACGAACGGGUUGAUAUUCCCGUACCGGCGUAUGGCCGUCAAAUCCGAGGCCUGGAGUACUAACCUCCGGCCGCGUGGCUUACCCUUCCUUCGGGAGGGGGAUGCGAUGCGGCUGUUGGGACCGAUCCUUGUAGUAGGACAGCGCAGGAGUGACGCAGAGGGGUAGCCGGCCGCGGAGGUGGUUUUCCGUGGUCAAGCACGCAGCCUGUCCCGUAGGCAAAUCCGCGGGAUAUCGGGCGAGGUGUGAUGAUGGGGCCCUUCGGGGCCGAAUCCGGUGAUCCCAGCUGCCGAGAAAAGCUUCGGCGCGAGGACGUAUGCCGCCCGUACCCUAAACCGACACAGGUGGUCAGGUAGAGAAUACCAAAGCGAUCGAGCGAAUCCUGGUCAAGGAACUCGGCAAAUCACUCCCGUGCCUUCGGUAUAAGGGAGGCCCCUCAUGGUGGACCGGCUUGCCCGGCGAGCUGUAGGGGGUGGCACAAAAGAGGGGGUAGCGACUGUUUACCAAAAACACAGGUGCAUGCGAAGACGAAAGUCGCUGUAUAUGCACUGACGCCUGCCCGGUGCCGGAAGGUUAAGAGGAUCCGUCAGUCUUCGGAUGAAGCGGUGAAUUCAAGCCCCGGUAAACGGCGGUGGUAACUAUAACCAUCCUAAGGUAGCGAAAUUCCUUGUCGGGUAAGUUCCGACCUGCACGAAUGGCGUAACGACUUCCCCACUGUCUCGACCAGGAGCUCGGCGAAAUUGCAGUACGAGUAAAGAUGCUCGUUAAGCGCAGAAGGACGAAAAGACCCCGGGACCUUUACUAUACCUUGGUAUUGUCAUUAGGUUCGGAUUGUGUAGCAUAGGCGGGAGGCUUCGAAGCCGUGGCGCCAGCCAUGGUGGAGCCGCCAAGUGAAAUACCGCUCUGUCCGAAUUUGAUGUCUAACCUCGACAUGUCAUCCAUGUCAGGGACAGUGCCUGGCGGGUAGUUUAACUGGGGCGGUUGCCUCCUAAAGAGUAACGGAGGCGCUCAAAGGUUCCCUCAGCCCGGUUGGCAAUCGGGUGUUGAGUGCAAUCGCACAAGGGAGCUUGACUGCGAGACUGACAGGUCGAGCAGGGACGAAAGUCGGAGAUAGUGAUCCGGUGCCGGCGUACGGACGCGGCAUCGCUCAACGGAUAAAAGGUACCCCGGGGAUAACAGGCUGAUCAUUCCCAAGAGUCCAUAUCGACGGGAUGGUUUGGCACCUCGAUGUCGGCUCGUCGCAUCCUGGGGCUGUAGCAGGUCCCAAGGGUUCGGCCGUUCGCCGAUUAAAGCGGCACGCGAGCUGGGUUCAGAACGUCGUGAGACAGUUUGGUCUCUAUCCUCUGCGCUCGUUGGAAUAUUGAGGAGACCUGCCCAUAGUACGAGAGGACCUGGGUGGACGAACCUCUGGUAUGCCGGUUGUCACGCCAGUGGCACGGCCGGUUGGCUACGUUCGGAAGGGAUAACCGCUGAAAGCAUCUAAGCGGGAAGCCUGCUCCGAGAUCAGUAUUCCGUGCGGCCUCGAGCCGCUGUAGACCCCAUGCAGAACACGUGGUUGAUAGACAGGACGUGGAAGCCCCGCGAGGGGUGGAGCUGACCUGCACUAACGGUCGAAAGGCA
rnacentral:rRNA from 1 species